rnacentral:rRNA from 1 species
UACCAGCACCCCGAGUGGUCGGGACGUUUAUUGGGCGUAAAGGGCGCGUAGGCGGUGCGGUAAGUCUGCGGUGAAAUCUCCCGGCUCAACUGGGAGUCUGCCGUGGAAACUGCCGUGCUUGAGUGUGGGAGAGGUGAGUGGAAUUCCCGGUGUAGCGGUGAAAUGCGUAGAUAUCAGGAGGAACACCUGUGGCGAAAGCGGCUCACUGGACCACAACUGACGCUGAUGCACGAAAGCUAGGGGAGCAAACAGG